CAUUUGACCAACAUUCUGUGACAGCGCAUGUCCUGUGUCAAUGGCGACUGGGUGCUUUCACAUCAAGGACGAGAAGAGCGAAGAAACAUGCGUGCGUUCCCCUUCAACCCUUGCAGAAAAUAAAAUCGCUUGAUAUCUCAACCGGUAUCGGUUUACACUUCAGGCACUGGCCGCUGAAUGCACGAAGCGGAGGGUUACAUUUUAGACAAACCAUUGCCUAUCUUCGAUACCGGAAGACACCGGAAUAAACAGUGUUCUGUACCCGACAGGAAAUACUCGACCACGUGUAGCGGGCUCAUCCUUCAGCGUGGAUCUUCUAAUCGAGAAUGAACAUGUUGCUACACGAUCGAAGGUUAACACAGUGACUAUGUUCUAACAUGCGUGAUUUGUUUGCGAAGAAGCUGUUUCACGCUGAAUUACCUUAAAGUAUGACAACUAACAUGAACAUCGGUCUUUACUAUCAAAAGCUAAUGCUAGAUGAAA